rnacentral:tRNA from 1 species
CAUCAGGUGACUGAAAGCAAGUAUUGGUCUCUUAAACCAAAUUAUAGUGAUAUAGCAAUUACUCCUGAUGA